AGGGGACGCUGUGAUACAGAUUGGCGCGAUUUGUGAUUCUUCUGAAUGAGGCCUUUUGCUUGUGCUUUUAAAUAUCGGUGUUUGUGAGCGCACUUUACAAUCCCAAAGAUUCAGAAAACAUACGGACUUCUGAAUUUUUCAGGGAGCGUCACCUCAUUUAUUUACUACUUAAAGGGGAGAUAUCAGUUUAAAAAAGGUGUACAUAGCCCAUUAAAUCUUACAUAUGGCUGAUGAUCGAGAAUACAGCAGCUGAAAGAAACAAUCGAGCAGAAGUUCCGAGUUUUUUGAAGUUCAGCAAAAGCCACUUUUAGUUGUAUCCCAAGCAUAGCUUUGGGGAAACUUUCCUAUCUGAUCAAGCGAAUCCGAAGAGGAGGAGGAAGAAGACGUAGGAAGG